rnacentral:rRNA from 1 species
UCAGACGAUGCGUCAUGCAUAUCAAUAAGCGGAGGAAAAGAAACUAACAAGGAUUCCCCUAGUAACGGCGAGUGAAGCGGGAAGAGCUCAAAUUUGAAAUCUUAAAGGGUUUCCCUUUACGAAUUGUAGUUUAAAGAAGUGUUUUCUGUUGAGGUUUUGGUAAAAGUUCUUUGGAAUAGGACAUCAUAGAGGGUGAGAAUCCCGUAUUUGACCUUUACUUCCAACUUUGUGAUACACUUUCAAAGAGUCGGAUUGUUUGGGAAUGCAGUCCAAAAUGGGUGGUAAAUUUCAUCUAAAGCUAAAUAUUGGCGAGAGACCGAUAGCGAACAAGUACCGUGAGGGAAAGAUGAAAAGAACUUUGAAAAGAGAGUUAAACAGUACGUGAAAUUGUCAAAAGGGAAGCGUUUGACACCAGUGUUGUUUUUCUGAAAAUCAAUUAAAGAACUGUUUAUGCUAAGUUGUUUAGACUUUAUCAGCUAUCUGUUUAGUUUUGAGCUUUUCUUUAAUGCACUUUUCAGCUAACAAGUCAACAUCAAUUUCUUUUGCUGUAAAAAAGCUUGAGGAAGGUGGCUUGAGAUUCGUCUUAAGUGUUUAUAGCCUCUUGCCUAUGCAGUCGGAGAGAUUGAGGUCUGCAGCGUAGAUCCUUCGGGGCUAAAUGCAUUUGUGCUAAGUUAUAGCAUUUUAUAGACAACUUGUUGACUAUGAUUUGUCUUGUAGCUUACUCGCUUAUGUUAUUUUACCUACGCUUAGGAUGUUGACACACGCGCGUGCUCG